rnacentral:snRNA from 1 species
UUACUCUGGUUUCCCUUCAAUACACGUUUAAAUCUUUCGCCUUUUACUAAAGAUUUCCGUGGAGGGGAACAAUUGAUGAGUCUAUACUCUAUUUUUUUUCGUACCUAGCGCAAGCUGGGUC